UGGGGAAUUUUGGACAAUGGGCGAAAGCCUGAUCCAGCAAUGCCGCGUGUGUGAAGAAGGCCUUCGGGUUGUAAAGCACUUUUGUCCGGAAAGAAAUCCUUGGCUCUAAUACAGUCGGGGGAUGACGGUACCGGAAGAAUAAGCACCGGCUAACUACGUGCCAGCAGCCGCGGUAAUACGUAGGGUGCAAGCGUUAAUCGGAAUUACUGGGCGUAAAGCGUGCGCAGGCGGUUUGCUAAGACCGAUGUGAAAUCCCCGGGCUCAACCUGGGAACUGCAUUGGUGACUGGCAGGCUAGAGUAUGGCAGAGGGGGGUAGAAUUCCACGUGUAGCAGUGAAAUGCGUAGAGAUGUGGGGGAAUACCGAUGGCGAAGGCAGCCCCCUGGGCCAAUACUGACGCUCAUGCACGAAAGCGUGGGGGAGCAAAACAGGAUUAGAUACCCUGGUAGUCCACGCCCUAAACGAUGUCAACUAGUUGUUGGGGAUUCAUUUCCUUAGUAACGUAGCUAACGCGUGAAGUUGACCGCCUGGGGAGUACGGUCGCAAGAUUAAAACUCAAAGGAAUUGACGGGGUCAUAGCUGUUUCCU
rnacentral:rRNA from 1 species